rnacentral:rRNA from 1 species
GAUGAACGCUAGCGGCAGGCCUAACACAUGCAAGUCGAGGGAGAAGCCCUUUCGGGGGCAGAAACCGGCGCACGGGUGCGUAACGCGUAUGCAACCUACCUUUCACAGGGGGAUAGCCCGAAGAAAUUUGGAUUAAUACCCCAUAAUAUUAUUGGAUGGCAUCAUUUGAUAAUUAAAACUGCGGCGGUGAAAGAUGGGCAUGCGUCCUAUUAGCUAGUUGGAGUGGUAACGGCACCCCAAGGCUACGAUAGGUAGGGGUCCUGAGAGGGAGAUCCCCCACACGGGUACUGAGACAGGGACCAGACUCCUACGGGAGGCAGCAGUGAGGAAUAUUGGUCAAUGGUCGGGAGACUGAACCAGCCAUGCCGCGUGCAGGAAGAAUGCCUUAUGGGUUGUAAACUGCUUUUAGAUGGGAAGAAUAAGGCGUACGUGUACGUUGAUGACGGUACCAUAUGAAUAAGCAUCGGCUAACUCCGUG